rnacentral:rRNA from 1 species
AAAUUGAAGAGUUUGAUCAUGGCUCAGAUUGAACGCUGGCGGCAGGCCUAACACAUGCAAGUCGAACGGUAACAGGAAGCAGCUUGCUGCUUUGCUGACGAGUGGCGGACGGGUGAGUAAUGUCUGGGAAACUGCCUGAUGGAGGGGGAUAACUACUGGAAACGGUGGCUAAUACCGCAUAACGUCGCAAGACCAAAGAGGGGGACCUUCGGGCCUCUUGCCAUCAGAUGUGCCCAGAUGGGAUUAGCUUGUUGGUGAGGUAACGGCUCACCAAGGCGACGAUCCCUAGCUGGUCUGAGAGGAUGACCAGCCACACUGGAACUGAGACACGGUCCAGACUCCUACGGGAGGCAGCAGUGGGGAAUAUUGCACAAUGGGCGCAAGCCUGAUGCAGCCAUGCCGCGUGUAUGAAGAAGGCCUUCGGGUUGUAAAGUACUUUCAGCGGGGAGGAAGGUGUUGUGGUUAAUAACCGCAGCAAUUGACGUUACCCGCAGAAGAAGCACCGGCUAACUCCGUGCCAGCAGCCGCGGUAAUACGGAGGGUGCAAGCGUUAAUCGGAAUUACUGGGCGUAAAGCGCACGCAGGCGGUCUGUCAAGUCGGAUGUGAAAUCCCCGGGCUCAACCUGGGAACUGCAUUCGAAACUGGCAGGCUUGAGUCUUGUAGAGGGGGUAGAAUUCCAGGUGUAGCGGUGAAAUGCGUAGAGAUCUGGAGGAAUACCGGUGGCGAAGGCGGCCCCCUGGACAAAGACUGACGCUCAGGUGCGAAAGCGUGGGGAGCAAACAGGAUUAGAUACCCUGGUAGUCCACGCCGUAAACGAUGUCUACUUGGAGGUUGUGCCCUUGAGGCGUGGCUUCCGGAGCUAACGCGUUAAGUAGACCGCCUGGGGAGUACGGCCGCAAGGUUAAAACUCAAAUGAAUUGACGGGGCCCGCACAAGCGGUGGAGCAUGUGGUUUAAUUCGAUGCAACGCGAAGAACCUUACCUGGUCUUGACAUCCACAGAAGAAUCCAGAGAUGGAUUUGUGCCUUCGGGAACUGUGAGACAGGUGCUGCAUGGCUGUCGUCAGCUCGUGUUGUGAAAUGUUGGGUUAAGUCCCGCAACGAGCGCAACCCUUAUCCUUUGUUGCCAGCGAUUAGGUCGGGAACUCAAAGGAGACUGCCAGUGAUAAACUGGAGGAAGGUGGGGAUGACGUCAAGUCAUCAUGGCCCUUACGACCAGGGCUACACACGUGCUACAAUGGCGCAUACAAAGAGAAGCGACCUCGCGAGAGCAAGCGGACCUCAUAAAGUGCGUCGUAGUCCGGAUUGGAGUCUGCAACUCGACUCCAUGAAGUCGGAAUCGCUAGUAAUCGUGGAUCAGAAUGCCACGGUGAAUACGUUCCCGGGCCUUGUACACACCGCCCGUCACACCAUGGGAGUGGGUUGCAAAAGAAGUAGGUAGCUUAACCUUCGGGAGGGCGCUUACCACUUUGUGAUUCAUGACUGGGGUGAAGUCGUAACAAGGUAACCGUAGGGGAACCUGCGGUUGGAUCACCUCCUUA